UACGUAGGGGGCGAGCGUUGUCCGGAUUUAUUGGGCGUAAAGAGCGUGUAGGCGGCCAGGUAGGUCUGCUGUGAAAACUCGAGGCUCAACCUCGAGACGUCGGCGGAAACCAUCUGGCUUGAGGCCGGGAGAGGCGAGUGGAAUUCCCAGUGUAGCGGUGAAAUGCGUAGAUAUUGGGAGGAACACCAGUGGCGAAGGCGGCUCGCUGGACCGGUUCUGACGCUGAUGCGCGAAAGCGUGGGGAGCAAACGGGG
rnacentral:rRNA from 1 species